CCUGAGAAACCCAAAAGAUCGAAUGGGGAGAUUCAUCGUCAGCUCAUUUUGUAUAUAUGCAAUUUGUGAUAUGGGUUACUACACUGUGUAGUAUUGCCUGUACAUUGUUGUAUAUUUAUUUGCAAAAUGUUGUCGGCGUGCACUUCUCCCCUAGUAGGACGUCGCGACCCGUUGAAUAUUGGUUUACGGCCCAAGUGGUAGCUUUUAAUGAAUUUUAUUCAUUAGAAACCCUUGGUGUUUUCUAACUGGGAUUCGUCGGUAUUCGUAUGGUAUUGAGCCGCAUUUAAUAUGUGCGUCCAUAUCCAUCACAAGCGAGAUUAGUUACUGAUAGUAUGGACCUAGUGCCGUCGUUGGUGCUAAUCAGCUGUUGGUUGUAUGGAAUUGUAGGACUGGCUCUGAAAAUUAAAAUAUACCGGUCAGCGAUGCUACUGCUUUGGG
rnacentral:rRNA from 1 species